CAGCUUCAGCUGCUAUUUCUCAGGGGUUUUCAAACUGGGGGUCAGGACCCUGCAGGGGGUUGCGAGAUUACUACAUGAGAGGUUGCGAGCUGUCAACCUCCACCCCAAACCCCGC